rnacentral:tRNA from 1 species
GUGAUAAAAGCAGAAUAGUAUUUGCGCUGGCCUUGUAAGUCAGAGGGUAAAGAUAAGUUUCUUUUUAUCACU